UACCAGCUCUCCGAGUGGUGUGGAUGUUUAUUGGGCCUAAAGCAUCCGUAGCUGGCUGGACAAGUCCCCUGUUAAAUCCACCGAUUUAAUCGUUGGAGUGCGGGGGAUACUGUCCGGCUAGGGGACGGGAGAGGCAGACGGUAUUUCCGGGGUAGGGGUGAAAUCCUAUAAUCCCGGGAAGACCACCAGUGGCGAAGGCUGUCUGCUAGAACGCGCCCGACGGUGAGGGAUGAAAGCUGGGGGGAGCGAACCGGAUUAGAUACCCGGGUAGUCCCAGCUGUAAACGAUGCAGGCCAGGUGCUUGGACGGCCACGUGCCGUUCUAGUGCCGCAGGGAAGCCGUUAAGCCUGCCGCCUGGGGAGUACGGCCGCAAGGCUGAAACUUAAAGGAAUUGGCGGGGGAGCACCACAAGGGGUGAAGCUUGCGGUUU
rnacentral:rRNA from 1 species